UCAGGAUCUCUAAGAGAUAUCUGCUCACGCAUGUUCACGGCAACAUUAUUCACAAGAGCCAAAACAUGGAAACAACCUAAAUGGUCAACAGAUGAAUGAAUAAAGAAAAAGUGAUAUAUACCUACAAUGGAAUAUUAUUCAGCCUUUAAAAAGAACAGCUGAAUAAUAUUUGCCAUUUACCCAACAUGGAUGGACCUGGAAGGCAUUAUGCUGAGUGAAAUAAGCCAGACAAAGGACAAAUACUUUCUGUUUUCACUUAUAUUAGGUAUCUAAAAUAGUCAAACUCAGGAGUUCCCAUUAUGCCUCAGCAGUAAUGAACCCAACUAGUAUCCAUGAGGACACGGAUUUAAUCCCUGGCCUUGCUUGGUGGGUUAAGGAUCUGGUGUCGCCGUGAGCUGUGGUAUAGGUCUCAGACACGGCUCGGAUCCCACGUUGCUGUGGCUGUGGCGUAGGCUGGCAGCUGGAGGGCCAAUUCAACUCCUAGCCUGGGAACCUCAUAUGCUGCAGGUGUGGCCCUAAAAAGCAAAAAAAUAAACAAAUAAAAUAGUUAAAUUUAUAGAAGCAGAAAGUAGAACAGCGGUUACCUGGAGACGGGAAGAAAGGAAAACAGGGACUUGUUAUUCAAUGUGUUAAGUUAUAGUUAUGCAAGAUUAUUCAGAUCUAGGGAUGUGCUGUACAGCAUGGUGCCCAUAAACAUAUAUAUGCAAGGGGUUUUGUCUAUCAGUUAUACUUCAAUAAAGCUGAAAAGGAGAUGGCAGGGGAGUAGAGAAGAGGGAGAAGAAUAGAGGGGAGAGGAGAGGGGAGAAAAGACCAAAAAAAAAAAAAGAAAAAAGAAAUGGUCCAGAGAGCUAGAUAGAUGUGGAGAUCCUCAGUGAAAGAUAAAACCAGGGGCAGAGAUGAAAGCAUUCAGAAAGACUAUAUAAGUGAGAAGAGUGGUAGGCCAAGAAAGAGAUGAAAGAAGACCCUUCUCUGAAAUGGGAAGAGGAAAAAGAGCUUGCAAAGGAAUCUGAGAAUGAUCAAAUAGGUGAGGGGAGGACCCAGAAGGAAGCCAUGUUAGAAAGUAAGGGGUACAUUAUAUCAAGUUGCAAGAACGGAAGUGACCAACGGUACUGGAUGCUGCAGAGGGCUCAAGAUGAAAAGUUAAAAAUAAUUCAGUGAUGGAUCAGCAUGAGGGAUCUUACUGCACUGAUAAAACUGGAUUAUGCUGAUGGUUGUACAGCUCAAUAAAUUUACUGAAAAACCACUCAAUUGUACACUUGAAAUAAGUCAAUUUUAUUCAUUUUAUGGUAUGUUAACUAUUCCUCAAUAAAGUUGUUUACAUUUUUAAAGUUCUGAAAAUCUUUCACACCUAUAUAAAAAAAAGACACUGUAUCCAUAUUUCACACACCAUAUGCAAAGGGAAUUCCAGGUCGAUUAAUGAUCUAAAUAUUGAAGCAAAAUGUAAAAGCUUUUAGAAUAUAACAACUUCAUGGGCUCAGGUUAGGAAAAGCAUGAAUCAAGCUUAGCUGUCUUGAAUAAAGAAGGUAUUCAGCAAAUGCCUACAACAAAUCAUUCCACAGAUAGGUGAAUAAUGUGACAGGAUUCUCAGUAUUCCACAGAACUUGGAGUAGAAUAAAGCCUCUCUUCCUUGCCUCAACAGAAACAAAAGCUGGCAAUUCCUACAUGGCUCAGCGGUUAACGAGCCCAACUAGCAUCCAUAAGGUCAUGGGUUCAAUCCCUGGCCUUGAUCAGUGGGUUAAGGAUCUGGCGUUGACGAGAGCUGUGGUGUAGGUCACAGACAUGGCUCGGAUCCUGCGUGGCUAUGGCUGUGGUGUAGGCUGGCAGCUACAGCUCUGAUUGGACCCCUGGCCUGGGAACCUCCGUAUAUCUCAGGGGCAGGCCUAAAAAGACCAAAAAAAAAAAAAGAGCUUCAUCAUUUUUAACAGAUUGUGACCACAGACUGCAGCUACAUAAUGUAGACAUGGUACCUUUGCAGAAUAUACUCAUCUGUAUAGUCAAAUAUUAAGUGCCUGUGACUUGCAUGACUUUUUAACAACAACUAUAAGGCAAAAUGAAUUAAGAUAGGUCUCAAAGUCUACAAAAGAAACAAAUUCCCCCUGAAUAAUUAAAUAACAAUAAAUUCUAAAGUUAUCCUAAACAGAAAUAACAAACAAUCUUGAAAAAAAUAAGACUGAAAGAAAGUCCACUUCCAUAAGUAGAUGGGGGUGAAGUGGUAAUUAUAUACAGAACAAAAAGAGAAAACAAUUUAAAUCAAUCUCAGAGGAGUUCCUGCCAUGGCUAGGCAGUUAAUGAACCCGACUAGUGUCCAUGAGGACACUGGUUUGAUCCCCGGCCUUGCUCAGUGGGUUAAGGAUCCUGUGUCGCACUGAGCUGUGUGGUGUGGUGUACUCAGAUCCCGCACUGCAACCCCUAGCCUGGGAACCUCCAUAACCCGCGGGUGCAGACCCAAAAAGACAAUCAAUCAAUAACUCAGAGGAUAAAACUCAGAAUUUGCUACUGGUCUAAAACUGAGAUUGAAGGAAAAAGUGAAAGGAAGUAAAUAAAGGGAGCUAAGAAGGAGAAGAUAGAGCCAACAAAGAAGCAGGCUAACUCAGUUUGUACUUCUGUUUUAUAAGCAAUACCAUAUUAUAAGCAGAAGUUUGAAAUAGUGCUGUGAAUACACACAGGCUGUUUCCACUAGCCCAUGUCCAUAAGCAAACUCCAUGUACCUUAAAAUUUCAAGCCUAUGUUUAAACUUUCCCUGACCUCUCUAGGCAGAGUGAGGCUCUUCCCCCUAAAGCUAGGCAAAUUCUGGACAUAUCAUAAUUAGCAUUUAUCACAUCAUAUUUCAUGAACUUAUUUCCAUGUCUGCUUCUCCUACUAGACAGUAAGCUCUUUAAGAAAAGGAUAGUAUAUAUUAUUUCAGGCAUCCUUUCAGAACCUAGAACAAAGUAGGUGCUCAGGAAAUACUUGCUGAAUAAAUGAACAAUUUUAAGAAAUGGUGGCUACAAUAGGCAGUACAGACAAGACAGUGGAGAAAUAAAAUACAGUAAAACCAAUGAGGAAACUACUACAAAAUUCCAGGUAAGAACUAAUAAGGAGCAGACUGAAGGCAAUGACUGGAAAAUAAGAAAACCGAUGCAGGAAGUUCCCAUGUGGUGCAGAGGGUUAAGGAUCCCGCGUUGCAGCUGUGGCUCAGGUUCAACCCCUGGCCUGGGAACUUCCACAUGCCACAGGGGAUACCAAAAAAAGAAAACUGAAACAAAGACUACAGGAUGAUUAUUUGAGAGAAGUAGAAGAUGAUUACAAGAUUCUUGGAGUUCCCGUCGUGGUUCAGUGGUUAACGAAUCCGACUAGGAAUGAUGAGGUUGCAGGUUCCAUCCCUGGCCUUGCUCAGUGGUUUAAGGAUCCGGUGUUGCUGUGAGCUGUGGUGUAGGUUGCAGAUGUGGCUCAGAUCCCGCGUUGCUGUGGCUCUAGCGUAGGCCGGUGGCUACAGCUCCGAUUAGACCCCUAGCCUGGGAACCUCCAUAUGCCGUAGGUUAAGACCUAGAAAAGACAAAAGAAAAAAAAGAUCUGAAGCCUUGUUCCUGGAAAGUCAAUUACUUAAAUAUUUACUGAGAAUUUACCUAGUAUGAUAUAGUAUUCUAGGCACUAGGAAUCCAAAGAUAAGAAAAAUAUACAAAAUAUCUGUCCUCAUAAUAACAGAGGGAAAAAACAGAGAUUAAUUUGGAAUAACUUAACUUUGGAAAAAUUAAGUUUGGAAUAGAAGGCAACUGGAGGUAUUAUGGCCGAAGUUCUAGAAAGAAGUCAAGGCCAGAGAAUAUCUGAGCACCAUGUAUAGAUCAUGCUUUACGGGUUUACAAAAUCAAUAAAGAAAGUGUGUAGGGUGAGUUAGGAUAUCAAGACUCAACUCUGAACUCUGAGAAAUAUCUGUAUUAGUAUGGCAGCAGGAGGGAAUCAGGAAAGAAAACAGAAGCAGGUCAACAAAGGGAAAAAAUAUAUAUAUUUUUUUAACUAGAAAAAAAUGUCUAAAGAUGAAGGGGUUACAUAUUGUGCUAGUUACUUUAGAAGUGCACAACACUGGUACAAAAUGGCCUCAGGAAAUACUCCCCUGGAUUUGACACAAUGAUCUUUCAGAAAGACAUUCUGGAGAAUAACAGGAAUGAACACAAAAUUAUAAGGUAAGAGAAAAAAGGUGGAAAGGAGACAGAGAAGAAAGGGAGCAAUGUAGAGGAAGAAAGGAAGGGUACAAGAAAAAAAGAGUAUCUUCGAUUGUUAGCAGUGGUUCUAGAAAGAUAUACUGAUAUAUAGCUGCUCCUCUGAGGUUAAACAGUGUCAAAGAAAUUAUUUGACAUUUAUCUUUGUAAAAUUUCAAUUAUACACACCUUAUUAUGGUGGAAUGGAUACACCGAAAAUGAGAAAAUAAUAACUUUAAAAAAAAAUUUAUAAAAGUGACCAUGUCGAAUCCAUUUAUACACAGCAUAUAAAUGUAUAUAAUAUGCAUAUUAUAUUAAUUUCAAAUAGUAUUAUAUUUACAUUUCUGUGUCCAUAGUGAAUGGUAAGUAAAACACAAUACUAAGUAGUUUACACAACCACUGAAUACGUUAAAAAAAAUGGUCAUUAAUUAAAAGAAACGUAUCAGUAAUUUUUUAAACCAUAUGAACAGCUGCAGAAAGAAAUAAAUAAACAAAGAAAUCAUCACUCUUCCCUCUGUUAUCAGAUGUAAAUAAACGUUCAUAAGAUGAAACCAAUAAGGACUGUAGUAAAAAUAUUUAAGAUCUUUUCAACAAAAAGGAAAGAAGAGCAAAGCAUUGACUGAUUUGAAGAGUAAGGGUAGAAGCCGUAGCCAUUUUUCAAAUGACCUGGGAAGCAACAGAUGGGUACUGGCCAUUUUCAUGAUUUUUCUUAAAAAUCCAGUAUGUAGCAAUAUGUUCAGAGUCAGAGAAAUAAAAUCAAACCACUAAUAGAAUCCCUACAUGCCCAUAUUUAUUAAAAGCUGUUUUUUCCUCCUGGAGCUUUACCCCAAGUUUAAGGUCGGAUUAGAAGGAAAAUAAGAUUUUGAGGAGUCUGACAACUGCAAAAGGCAGGCUUCCCACAACCAGUACCUCUUACAACCAGCAGAUGGUGCCCUCCAUAAAUACAACCCUUCUAAUACACAGUCACUACACAGAAUAAGAAGCUAGGUUGGCCACGGACAGCUAAAAAGCUAAUGAGAAUGUGUUCUAAGAGAAAAGAGACAAAAUAAAUUAUAUUAUUCUUCCCUAAGCAUAUAACCUUAAGACCCCUUUACAUAUUACCCAACUAUUAAAACAAAAAACUCCUUUUUUCAUAUACAAUGUUACCACUAAUUAAUAAAGAUAAUUCAGCUUGAAUUGAUGAUUACCACUAAUUACAAAGAUAAUUAUUACCAAUGUUACCACUAAUUAAUAAAGAUAAUUCAAGCUGAAUUAUCUUUAUUAAUUCAAAUUAAGUAUAUUUCAUAAUUAUCCCUAUAUGUUUUGGUAAUACAAAGUAAUUUUAAAUGCUUUAGGAAGUCCUUUAAGAAAGCAGGCAGGCCCAUUUUGUUCAUAUUUUUGGUAAUAUUUAUUUAAAAACAUUAAACAUAUGGUUACUCUCUUGCCUACAUUCUUUUUAAGGACCACCAAUGUUACAGACAGGAAUAGAAUUAAACUGGUUCAGACAGCAAGGAGUCCCAGGCCCUAAAACACUCGAACUAGCAGCAAUUUCUAAGUAGUAACAGAGAGUGUUCUAUUAAAUCCCUUUAAAGCAAUAUUUUCUAUUAAUACUGACAAUACCUCUCAUUUACUGAAUAACUGGCGUUUUUUUAGUUAGUAGUUUAGUGUUCCAAUCAGUGGAGGAGAUAAAAUUAUGUCCUUUUCUCUAUUCACAUCAAACCUCAAGCACAUCUUCUUGGCUCUCAGUAGACUGCCUCUACUUCACUGAGAAAACAAAAUUUCCCCAGUCUCCAUUACUAAACCUAUUGUACCUAUUUCCUGCUUCUUUCCUACUUCUUUCCUAUUUCCCUACUUUUUUUCCAGAAAGUAUGUAGCCCUCCUCACAUCAAAAACUAAUCCCUCCACAGGUGCACAGAAUCCAUCCUCUACAAGCUGCUAGAGACCUUCAUGUUCUCUCCUCUUUCCUCGGCAUCAGCGUCCUCUACAUCUACUAGGUCUUUUCCCUCAGUAUUCAGUAUAAGUAGCUCUGUUCCUGAGUGAAAGGAAGGCAUUCAGGCAGGAAAGCAAGGAAAUACACAUCUGCUUAGACUGCAAAUAUCCUUCUAGCUGUCUUCCCUCUCAAAUUACCUUCACAGCCAAGCUUCUCAAAAAGUUAAUCUAUACUUUUGCUUAGAGCAUUUCCUGUUCAUACCAAUCCAAUCUUGUUUCCAGCAUCCUCCAUUACCAGUAAUAAGCUUUUGCCAUCAUCAUUGUGGCAGACUUCAAAAAUGACAACAGAUGUUUCCCUUCCCUGAAUCUAUACCCUUGCAAUGUGACUUUGCGGCUCCUCUGGGCAAGUGUUUUUCCAGCUCUUGAAUCUGAGAUGGUCUUAAGACUUGCUCUGGCCAUUGGGAUACCGGCAAGCUUAAAAAGCGCUUGUGCUUUGGAAUUAAUUGACUUGCUGCUCUUGGAACUCUGCUCCCAGUGCAAGCCCAAAAGUUAUCCCACUGGAAAACGAGAGCGAGAGAGAGCAAGCCAGCCCAGAGAGUCCAGCCAUGAGCAUCAUGAACAAAGCCACCCCCAGACAAACCAUCCAGUGAUCACAUAUACAUAUCUGAAGAUGUAUGAGCAAGCCCAAGUGAAUCACCUAAGGCUGACCCAGAUCAACAGAACUACCCAGCUAAGCCAAACUCAAGCUGCAAACCUAAAAAACUGGGAGCUUAAUAAAUGAUGGUGGUUGCAAGCCAUUAAGUUUUGGGUGAUUUGCUAUGCAGUACAAGCUAACUAAAAGUCAUCAUUGUCCUCCAUGUUGCCAAAUCAAAGGAACACUUUUCUAAUCCUAAUUUUAUUGAUCUCAGAAGAAUGACACACAGUUGAUGACAACCUCUUUCUGAAAACACUCUUUUCCUCUGGUUUCCACUAUACUUUACCUUUUCCUGAUUUUUCUCCUACCUUACAGGUCACUGUCUCCUUUGUUUCCUUCUCCUCUAUCCAACCUCUAAACAUCAGUAAUUCAUCAGAGCUUAAUCCUGGCCCUUCUAUUCUUUUUAGUCUAUACGUUUUUAUCCCAAGGCUUCUGCCUUAAGCUUUCUUAAAGCUACUCCAAAGACUUUAAAAUAAUAAACACAUACCUCACCAAGAGCUCUCUUUUGAACUCUAGUCCUCACACACAACUGCCAACUUAACAUUUCCACUUGAGUAUUCUCAAAGGCAUCUCGAACUUUAAAAAAACCCCAAAACCAAACAACAAACUAUCUCCCAACUUCUUUCCCUUCUAAAGAAACCUUCCUUCUUGGAUCUUCUCUCUGUGUAUGAUGUCUUACUGUAUCCAACUUGUUACUCCCAGAAAACUGGGUGUGACCCUAGAUAAUUCUCUCUCAACACUUAAAAGCAAUCAAGUCCUAUAAAUGUUACCUGCAAAACAAAUAAAAUUCACCUUCAAUUGGCCAUUACUUCACCAUAACUUAAUCUAAACCACCUCCAAUUCAUUCUUCAUACAGUAGCCAGAAUGAUCUUAACAUGCUAAUCUCUUCAUGUCAUUGCCUUACUCUUAAAGAGGUUCUCAUUGACCUUAAAAUAAGUUCUACAUAUAUUAAUCAGACCACUUUCUCACUGCACUCCAGUCACAGAUCUAUUCCUUAAACUCAUCAAACCAAGAUCCUUCUAAGUGUGUGCUAUUCUUUUGGCUUCAAAAACUUUUUUCCUCCUCUGUUACUGCUUCCUUUCAUGCCUGAAGUCUCAUAUGUCAAUUCCUCAGGGACACCUUCCCAAAUCUGCCCAAGCUAAAUUAAAUAAAUCUCUAUUAUAUGCUUUCAUACCAGUCCAUCCUUUUCCUUCAAAGAAUUCAUCAUAAUUAUAAACAUUUAUCACCUAAUAUCUUCUAAACUGCAAGAACAAAUAUCCUAUUUUCUUCACUGCUCUACACCUAAUGCAUAGCAAAACAAUGGGCAAAAGGUAGGAGCUGAAGAAAUAUUCUUAAGUAUGGGAUGAAUUAUAUAAUAUACCCAUUUUAUAAAUGAGGAGACUGAGGAUCAGAGAAAUUAACUAUGCUGACACUAUCGAGCAACUAAACUGGAAAUAAUCUAGUCCAUAUCUUUAUUUCCAAGGUCUAUUCCCUUGGUCUAAUGAUAAAGCACACUAAAUCUUCAGAGCACAAUGAAUCCCCUAAUACUCAAGCCCAAACACCUACACGCAAAAAAAGUACCAUGGGAAUUUUUACAGAGUUGAGAACAAUGCAUCCUAAAAAGUGUAAACAAUCC
rnacentral:lncRNA from 1 species